rnacentral:lncRNA from 1 species
CUUCCAUAAGGGAAGGUUCUCUACCUGGGGUUUCUUCCUUUUGGAGUGUUUAGUAAGGCCCUGAUCCUUAGGAUAGAAGAAAGACCUUUGGAAUACAGCAUGUACGCAUUUGCUCCCACCUUUCCCUCCCAAGUUUUUCCAUUAUCAGCAGAGUAAUCGCUGACCCAACACGUUAACUCAAGAAGCACCAAAGAGCAAAAAUCUUACUGGAGAAGGAUAAUUGCAACGACUCUCCAAGGGCUCACUGUUCUUCCACCCAUCAGUAGAUGCAGUGCUGAGGAGAUAAGGUACCUGCUGUAGGUUUAGAAAGGAAGCUUGAAAAUCUGGAACUGCUGCAUUCAAGUCUUCAUGAAAAUGUGAAUGCUCUUGGGUUUGCACUCUUCCAUGACUGGAAGCAGCAGCAUCUCAGCAUGACAACAUCCAUC